rnacentral:rRNA from 1 species
CAAUAGCGUAUAUUUAAGUUGCUGCAGUUAAAAAGCUCGUAGUUGGAUUUCGGGUGGGAAUGGCCGGUCCGCCGUCUCGGUGUGCACUUGCUACGCCCACCUUGCUGCCGGGGACGUGCUCUUGAGUUCACGCUCGGGACACGGAGUCGGCGAGGUUACUUUGAGUAAAUUAGAGUGUUCAAAGCAGGCCUACGCUCUGAAUACAUUAGUAUGGAAUAGCACGAUAGGACUCUGGCCUAUCUUGUUGGUCUGUAGGACCGGAGUAAUGAUUAAGAGGGACAGUCGGGGGCAUUCGUAUUUCAUUGUCAGAGGUGAAAUUCUUGGAUUUAUGAAAGACGAACUACUGCGAAAGCAUUUGCCAAGGAUGUUUUCAUUAA